rnacentral:rRNA from 1 species
AGAGUUUGAUCCUGGCUCAGAGCGAACGCUGGCGGCAGGCUUAACACAUGCAAGUCGAGCGGGCGUAGCAAUACGUCAGCGGCAGACGGGUGAGUAACGCGUGGGAACAUACCUUUUGGUUCGGAACAACACAGGGAAACUUGUGCUAAUACCGGAUAAGCCCUUACGGGGAAAGAUUUAUCGCCGAAAGAUUGGCCCGCGUCUGAUUAGCUAGUUGGUGAGGUAACGGCUCACCAAGGCGACGAUCAGUAGCUGGUCUGAGAGGAUGAUCAGCCACAUUGGGACUGAGACACGGCCCAAACUCCUACGGGAGGCAGCAGUGGGGAAUAUUGGACAAUGGGCGCAAGCCUGAUCCAGCCAUGCCGCGCGAGUGAUGAAGGCCCUAGGGUUGUAAAGCUCUUUUGUGCGGGAAGAUAAUGACGGUACCGCAAGAAUAAGCCCCGGCUAACUUCGUGCCAGCAGCCGCGGUAAUACGAAGGGGGCUAGCGUUGCUCGGAAUCACUGGGCGUAAAGGGUGCGUAGGCGGGUUCUUAAGUCAGAGGUGAAAUCCUGGAGCUCAACUCCAGAACUGCCUUUGAUACUGAGAGUCUUGAGUACGGGAGAGGUGAGUGGAACUGCGAGUGUAGAGGUGAAAUUCGUAGAUAUUCGCAAGAACACCAGUGGCGAAGGCGGCUCACUGGCCCGUUACUGACGCUGAGGCACGAAAGCGUGGGGAGCAAACAGGAUUAGAUACCCUAGUAGUCC